AGAGUUUGAUCCUGGCUCAGGAUGAACGCUGGCGGCGUGCUUAACACAUGCAAGUCGAGCGAAGCAAUUUAAGUGAAGUUUUCGGAUGGAUCUUAGAUUGACUGAGCGGCGGACGGGUGAGUAACGCGUGGAUAACCUGCCUCACACAGGGGGAUAACAGUUAGAAAUGACUGCUAAUACCGCAUAAGCGCACGGUACCGCAUGGUACAGUGUGAAAAACUCCGGUGGUGUGAGAUGGAUCCGCGUCUGAUUAGGUAGUUGGUGAGGUAACGGCCCACCAAGCCGACGAUCAGUAGCCGACCUGAGAGGGUGACCGGCCACAUUGGGACUGAGACACGGCCCAAACUCCUACGGGAGGCAGCAGUGGGGAAUAUUGCACAAUGGGGGAAACCCUGAUGCAGCGACGCCGCGUGAGUGAAGAAGUAUCUCGGUAUGUAAAGCUCUAUCAGCAGGGAAGAAAAUGACGGUACCUGACUAAGAAGCCCCGGCUAACUACGUGCCAGCAGCCGCGGUAAUACGUAGGGGGCAAGCGUUAUCCGGAUUUACUGGGUGUAAAGGGAGCGCAGACGGCACUGCAAGUCUGAAGUGAAAGCCCGGGGCUCAACCCCGGGACUGCUUUGGAAACUGUAGAGCUAGAGUGCUGGAGAGGCAAGCGGAAUUCCUAGUGUAGCGGUGAAAUGCGUAGAUAUUAGGAAGAACACCAGUGGCGAAGGCGGCUUGCUGGACAGUAACUGACGUUCAGGCUCGAAAGCGUGGGGAGCAAACAGGAUUAGAUACCCUGGUAGUCCACGCCGUAAACG
rnacentral:rRNA from 1 species